rnacentral:pre_miRNA from 1 species
GUAGUAUUCCCUCCGUCCCAAAAUUCUUGUCUUACAUUUGUUUAGAUAUGGAUGUAUCUAACACUAAAAUGUAACUAGAUACAUCCGUAUUUAGACAAAUUUAAGACAAGAAUUUUGGGACGGAUGGAGUACAAA